AACGAACGCUGGCGGCAUGCCUAACACAUGCAAGUCGAACGAGACCUUCGGGUCUAGUGGCGCACGGGUGCGUAACGCGUGGGAACCUGCCCUUAGGUUCGGAAUAACUCCCCGAAAGGGGUGCUAAUACCGGAUAAUGUCUUCGGACCAAAGAUUUAUCGCCUUUGGAUGGGCCCGCGUUGGAUUAGCUAGUUGGUAGGGUAAAAGCCUACCAAGGCGACGAUCCAUAGCUGGUCUGAGAGAAUGAUCAGCCACACUGGGACUGAGACACGGCCCAGACUCCUACGGGAGGCAGCAGUGGGGAAUAUUGGACAAUGGACGAAAGCCUGAUCCAGCAAUGCCGCGUGAGUGAUGAAGGCCUUAGGGUUGUAAAGCUCUUUUACCCGGGAUGAUAAUGACAGUACCGGGAGAAUAAGCUCCGGCUAACUCCGUG
rnacentral:rRNA from 1 species